AAUUGACUUUUUAGUUAAAGUCUUAUUUAAUUGUAAAAGAAAUAAAAAAAGAUUAAAAUUUUAUUGUAAUAAAUAUUGUAAUAGUUUUUAUUGUAUUCAAAGUAUGCGCAAGCAACAAUGUCUUUUAGACUUCCGUAAUACUUUUAUUUUUCUAAAUAUGCUAUUUUGAAUUAUACUUCUUGCCUUUGGUUUGUAAUUAGUAAUCACAAACCUUAAUCCGGGCUCAUAUUUGAAAUUUAUCGAUAUUUUAGUAUUUUAUGAGACCGCUAUCCUAAAUUUACCCUUUUAAAUUUUAAUUUUGAUACUUGAUUUUGAAUCAAUUAACAUCUCCAAAAACCGUUUCCAUGUAAAACGCAUUUUCUCUGGGAAAACCGACGAUACAAAAGGAUUCAGUUAUUAGUUGAGACUUGAAAUAAGAUUCAGUUAUAAAUAGCGACCGUAGCUGAUAUAAAAUUCAAAAAUUCUAAAUAUGUGAACUUAAAACUUGUAUCUUAAGAUGGACUUGUAUUCAUUACUAUUUAUCGCGAAAAAAGUUCAAGUAGUAAAACAAGAAAAACAUUAUCAUGAGUUUUUAAUUUAAAUGGCAAUGUGAGACAGAUCUUGGAAUCCCCACUAUCGACUAUCGAUGUAAUUAUACUGACAGAAUUGCCGUGAACAUUGAAAUUAACAGACAAUCGCUUCUGCGCCCGAAUAGGCUACAUUCAUGUGUUAGUGUGAUUAAGUGGAUGAACUUCGCAAUGGCAGAGAAAACAUGUCCAACCAAAAGAGGAAGACCAGCGAUUGGUCUGGGUCAAGCGCUGUCUCUGUUUAACCAGUAGCACAGUGAGCGCUAGACAAAGAUAGAAAUUGACCCGGACCAUAUCUUCUCUUUGUUUUUCUGCCGGACACUUUUCAAGAGCUUUUUGUAGAGAUUACACAGUCCAUGCUUUACGUCGAUGAAGUGGUUGAUGACUGAAGAAAUACGAGACUGUAGGAAAUUAAACCCGAAUAAAACAGUUAUUACUACAAGAAUGUUUAUUAUUAUAUUAUUAUUAUUUAUUCCUGUGGUAUAUUUGGCGUGUCAUUAUUACGUGCACAAUGGACCAUGUGGACGAUUAUUCCAUAAAAUACCAGGACCGUCAGGUUAUCCAAUUAUUGGUAAUUUAUUUUUAGCGCUAUGUUCACGAGGUAAGUUAAAACUUUCAACAUAUUUUUAUAAGUAAACAAAUUUUUCAAAUUAUGUAAAUAUUAAUGUUCCUUUGUGCAUAAUAUUUUUAAUAAUUAUAUAAGAAAGAGAGAGUUUUACAAUAUUUUUUAUUCAUUUUUAUUUUCUGGUUAAUUGUGUUUGUUUUGUUUUCGGUCCAACCAGAAUGCAAACAAAUCAGUUUAAAGUACAUGUAAAAUUCUAAAUUAAACUAAUUGCAAUUUUUCUUUAUUCUUAAUAUUUGAUAUACUUGUACAAAUUUUCAGAGAAGUUUUGGAAAAAUUUAAUUAUUUUUUCUACUCAAUAUUAUCCUAUUUUUAAAGUGUGGAUGUUUUUUUAUGGUCUUGUAUCUAUUCGACAUCCUGAUGACUUGGAGAUAAUACUAAGUAGUACAAAAGACAUCGAUAAGAGUCGAUUGUAUGAAGUAUUACAUCCUUGGUUAGGAAUGGGUCUUCUUACUAGUGGAGAAAUUUGAAGGAAUAUCGUCUUCUUCGGCUAUGUGAGCGGCGGCUCGUAUUUUCAUUCUUUUAAAGCAAACAAAUCUGAUUAAUGAGAAGAGGAGGAGAGAAUAUUCCAUCCGGACAAGACAACAUAAUUAUAAUUAUAAUUAAACUUUACUUAAGGUAAGUUCGUUCACUUUAUUAAUUAUGCAACAUUUCGUCUAAAUGAAUAUAUGUAUCUUCAAAGUUAUUUUAUUGACAGUAUUGAAAGUUUAUAAUUUAUUGUUUUAUAAUAUAAUAUAUAUAUAUUUAAAUGUUUUUAUAUAUGUUUUAUAUUACGUUUUUAAAAAUUUUUGACCGUCGAAUACCUAAUAUUGUUAAAAAAGAACGUAAAAUUAAAUUUGCAUAAGUAAAGAUAGACUGAUUAAUCGCGGGCGAUUUGGCUAAAUAA
rnacentral:misc_RNA from 1 species